GGUUAAGUUAAUAAGGGCACACGGUGGAUGCCUUGGCGUUAGGAGCCGAAGAAGGACGCAGCGAACUGCGAUAAGCCUCGGGGAGUGGUAAGCACACUUUGAUCCGGGGAUUUCCGAAUGGGGGAACCCACCAUCUGUAAUGGGAUGGUAUCCUUCACUGAAUACAUAGGUGAUGAGAGGGCAGACCCGGUGAACUGAAACAUCUAAGUAGCCGGAGGAAGAGAAAACAAUAGUGAUUCCGUCAGUAGUGGCGAGCGAACGCGGAAGAGCCUAAACCGUAGGAUUUAUCCUACGGGGUUGUGGGGCGUUUCAUAUAGGAGUUACAAAAGACAGAUGUAGGUGAACAGUUUGGGAAGACUGACCAAAGAGCGUGAUAGUCGCGUAACCCAAACAUCUGUCUCUCCGAGACCAACCCCGAGUAGCGCGGGACACGUGAAAUCCCGUGUGAAUCUGGCAGGACCAUCUGCUAAGGCUAAAUACUACCUAACGACCGAUAGUGAACCAGUACCGUGAGGGAAAGGUGAAAAGCACCCCGGGAGGGGAGUGAAAUAGUACCUGAAACCGUGUGCUUACAAAUAGUCGGAGCACUUUCUAUGUGUGACGGCGUGCCUUUUGUAGAAUGAACCGGCGAGUUACGAUAGCGUGCGAGGUUAAGUCGAAGAGACGGAGCCGUAGCGAAAGCGAGUCUGAAUAGGGCGAAAGUACGUUGUCGUAGACCCGAAACCGUGUGAUCUAGCCAUGUCCAGGGUGAAGGUAGGGUAACACCUACUGGAGGCCCGAACCCACGCACGUUGAAAAGUGCGGGGAUGAGGUGUGGCUAGCGGUGAAAUUCCAAUCGAACUCGGAGAUAGCUGGUUCUCCCCGAAAUAGCUUUAGGGCUAGCCUCGGAAUAAAGAGUCUUGGAGGUAGAGCACUGAUUGGACUAGGGGCCCUCAUCGGGUUACCGAAUUCAGUCAAACUCCGAAUGCCAAGUACUUAUGUCCGGGAGUCAGACGGUGAGUGCUAAGAUCCAUCGUCAAAAGGGAAACAGCCCAGACCAUCAGCUAAGGCCCCCAAGUGUAUGUUAAGUGGGAAACGAUGUGGAGUUGCCCAGACAACCAGGAUGUUGGCUUAGAAGCAGCCACCAUUUAAAGAGUGCGUAAUAGCUCACUGGUCGAGUGACUCUGCGCGGAAAAUGUAACGGGGCUAAACAUACCGCCGAAGCUAUGGCAGUCCUUAUGGACUGGGUAGGGGAGCGUUCCAAGCAGCAGUGAAGCCGUAUCGUGAGGAGCGGUGGAGCGCUUGGAAGUGAGAAUGCCGGUGUAAGUAGCGAAAAGACAAGUGAGAAUCUUGUCCACCGAAAGCCUAAGGUUUCCUGGGGAAGGCUCGUCCUCCCAGGGUUAGUCGGGACCUAAGCUGAGGCCGAAAGGCGUAGGCGAUGGACAACUGGUUGAUAUUCCAGUACCACCUCUGUUCCGCUUGAGCAAUGGCGUGACGCAGGAGGAUAGGGUGAGCGGCCUAUUGGAUGGCCGUCUAAGCAGUAAGUGUGGUGUGUAGGCAAAUCCGCACACCAA
rnacentral:rRNA from 1 species